AUUUCAAUUUAAAAUGGGCUACAAAUGUAGCCCACGCGAGCACUUGUGAACGUUUUAGAAGCGCGUGUACCGUAGUGUUAACUAAAAUAGCCAUGCAUUCA